rnacentral:tRNA from 1 species
UAUGUUUAAGUAUAUGAUGUACAUUAAUUUUUGAUAUUAAAAGUAUUAGUUUAAUUCUAAUAAAUAUAA